rnacentral:rRNA from 1 species
UGUGGGAUUAAGAUCUUCGGAUUGUAAACCACUUUUCUAGGGGAAGAACUUUGACUGUACCCUAGGAAUAAGGGGUGACUAAACUCGUGCCAGCAGUAGCGGUAAUACGAGUGCCCCAAGCGUUAUCCGGAUUUAUUGGGCGUAAAGGGUCUGUAGGUGGUUUGUUAAGUUUCUCGUUAAAGCUCCAGGGCUUAACCUUGGAAAAGCGGGAAAAACUGGCAAACUAGAGGAUGUUAGAGGCUGAUGGAACACUUGGUGAAGGGGUGGAAUCCGUUGAUAUCAAGUGGAACACCGAAAGCGAAGGCAAUCAGCUGGGACAGUCCUGACACUGAAAGACGAAAGCGUGGGGAGAGAAAAGGAUUAGAUACCCUUGUAUUCCACGCCUUAAACGAUGAAUACUGGCUAUUGCAAGUGUCGACCCUUGCAGUGGCGAAGCUAACGCGUUAAGUAUUCCGCCUGGGAAGUACGGCCGCAAGGCUAAAACUCAAAGGAAUAGACGGGGACCUACACAAGCGGUGGAUCACGUGGCUUAAUUCGAUAGUAAGCGAGGAACCUUACCAGGGCUUGAAAGGUUAAUGAAAGCAUUUCGAAAGAUUUGCCUACCCACAAGGACAUUAACCCAGGUGCUGCAUGGUUGUCGUCAGCAGGUGGCUUGAGUUGCUCCCUUAAAUGGGGUAACCUGCGCAACCCUUGCUCUAUGUUUCAUGUGUCAUAGAGGACUGCCUGGGACAACCAGGAGGAAGGUGAGGAUGACGCCAAAUCAGCAUGGCCCUUUGAUGUCCUGGGCUGCACACGUGAUACAAUGGGAUUGACAACGGGAAGCGAAAGAGUAAUCUGGAGCAAAUCCUAUCAAACAAUCCCCCAAUUCGGAUUGAGGUCUGAAACUCGACCUCAUGAAGCCGGAAUCGCUAGUAAUCGCAGAUCAGCCAUGCUGCGGUGAAUAUGUCCCUGGGUCUUGUACUCACCGCCCGUCACGUCAAGCGAGUUGGGGAUACCCGAAGUUCCAUGCAAAUGGACCCAAGGUAGAUUCAAUGAGAGGGACGAAGUCGUAACAAGGCACGGGUAGCGGAAGCUGCUCGUG